ACAUACAUCGCUUUCGCCUUGUCGUUUUUGCUGGUUGGAGUAACUGCCACGGAGAAAAAGAAUAAAGCAUGUAAAGUAACGAUGUGGCAACCUACCCUUGCGGUACAGAGGUUGAGUAUUUCCCCGAUUGUGGUAAUUGGUACAAUCUAUGGUUACAUGGCGCACAACGACAGCGCCGUGGACUCUUUUCACGCUUUAUUCAACGUCACGUGUGUCCUCAAGAGCGACGAUAUCGAGGUGAAAUCACAAGUUGUCAUUGAAAACAUCUACCCCAGGACCGGAUGUUCCGGCACCAAGGAGGAUAUUCUAAAAGACGAACGGUCAGUGGUGGGACUGCGUCGACUCGAAAAUGGAAACUUUGAGUGGCAUGAAAAGAAUCCAUUGGAAUCAAUGUCAAUUAAUGCUUCGUAUGACUUUGUGUCGGAGCUUUCGCAGACGUGUGGUCUGCAAAAUUGGACCGUACCAAGGGGAAGUAAUGACGUUGAGUGUCCGAUAUGCUCUGUUGAUUUUGGAAUCGUUGGCGCUGAGGACGAAUGCAUGAUGUCCAAUUUGCGGAACGAAACCUGCGCAGAAAUUCCGGAAUUCAAGAUUUUCAGCCACUGCAGCUGUGACCAUGCUUCUACUGCUGGCAUUGUGCUCUCUGGUGUCUCCAUCCUGAAGUCAGAUCUUCUCUUUGUCUUAGUCAUGUUUUUAUUGAAUGCUAUGUAUGUCUCCAUGUAAUGUUAUACUUAAAAAAAAUAUAAC
rnacentral:sRNA from 1 species